rnacentral:lncRNA from 10 species
UUCCAUACCAAGUAAUAUAGGCAGUUGCAACAUCCAUGAAGAGUUGUUAAUUGGAGCACAAGGCAUCUGCAGUGUCAAAUCUACAGAGACAAGUGCACCUGGAGACAAAUGACCAGACUACCAUAAAACAGAAGCUUAAUUAUGUUCACUUACAUUUUCAAAUUAUUCCCAACAAAUUACCCUGUUUUUCCAGGCAGAAGAAGCAGAGUGAAGAGAGGACAUUCCAAAUAAAAUGAAUGCUGAUCCUGCAUUGAGUGCAAGCAAAAAACUGUCAAGUUUUCCCUGGAUCUUUGGGCUUUCAUUUCUGAAGUCUCCUGUGUCACGUAAAACUUUGUUAAAUAAAUUUGUUAUGCUUUU